rnacentral:rRNA from 1 species
GACGUAGGGCGCGAGCGUUGUCCGGAUUUAUUGGGCGUAAAGAGCUCGUAGGCGGCUUGUCGCGUCGAAUGUGAAAACCCGAGGCUCAACUUCGGGCUUGCAUUCGAUACGGGCAGGCUAGAGUUCGGUAGGGGAGACUGGAAUUCCUGGUGUAGCGGUGAAAUGCGCAGAUAUCAGGAGGAACACCGGUGGCGAAGGCGGGGUCUCUGGG